rnacentral:lncRNA from 1 species
AAAUCCGUGGCCCGGAGGAGCCCCAGACAGGGGCCUGCGGGAGCCAGGGCUGGCCCCUACACCCAGCCCGCACCGCUGUUCCCUCCCGCCACCCCAACCCCAGCACUCAGCCCACGCCUGCUGUACCUGGUCUCUCUCUCAGCCUCGCUCCAUUGCUAUGCCCCACGUCCCCUGCACCCACCACACUCCUCUCCCAUCUUGUUUUCCAAGGGCAGGGACACAUGCUUAUUCUGCCGUGUGUUGGGUUCAGGUCCCCCCAUCCUCGGGCUGCCUGACCUUCUCUCCCCACCCCAGCCCUGAACAGGAAGGAGAGUUUCUUGCUCCUCUCCCUGCACAACCGCCUGCGCAGCUGGGUCCAGCCCCCUGCGGCUGACAUGCGGAGGCUGCUCGUGUGGGCCACCUCAAGCCAGCUGGGCUGUGGGCGGCACCUGUGCUCUGCAGGCCAGGCAGCGAUAGAAGCCUUUGUCUGUGCCUACUCCCCCAGAGGCAACUGGGAGGUCAACGGGAAGACAAUCGUCCCCUAUAAGAAGGGUGCCUGGUGUUCGCUCUGCACAGCCAGUGUCUCAGGCUGCUU